UACAGAGGUCUCAAGCGUUGUUCGGAUUCAUUGGGCGUAAAGGGUGCGUAGGUGGCAUGGUAAGUCGGAUGUGAAAUCCCGGGGCUCAACCCCGGAACUGCAUUCGAUACUGCUGCGCUAGAGUACUGGAGAGGAGAUUGGAAUUUACGGUGUAGCAGUGAAAUGCGUAGAUAUCGUAAGGAAGACCAGUGGCGAAGGCGGGUCUCUGGACAGUUCCUGACGCUGAGGCACGAAGGCCAGGGGAGCAAACGGG
rnacentral:rRNA from 1 species